AGUUUUUAAUACACUGCAUGUUUUGCUAACUAUUUCUCAUAUUUCUUUCGCUGACUGAACUUACAAAUGCGCUUCCAGAGUUUUCAUUUACGCUUCUGACUUCUUCGUUUACGCUUCUGAAGUUUUCGUUCGCAAUUCUGACACAAACCUACCGUGUGGGCGGGCUUAACAGCGGUUUGCUCUCAUUGGCUAGUGAGAUUUAGAUUGACGGCUCCUUGAACCGGAAGGAGAGCAGCGCGAAUUUUGGGUUCUGUGUGACAGUCUAACAACAGUAGAGUAAAACACUAUAUAAAAGCACAUCAACAAUAUUUAUAAAACCGAGAUGAGUAAGCAGGAGCGUCAUCAACAUCCUCAACCGCAGGGCAUUCGAGGCAGCCUGAGGGCCAAAGAGAAAUGUCACUUCUCCAGGAACAAGUGCAAGAGGAUAUCUUGCAGCGUAUGCUAACCAAGUUUAACUUGAUUUGUCGGAAUGAAGCUAUAGAUUUGGAUUACCUCCUGGAUGUUGCUCAGCAAGAACUUGCUUUGGCUAUUAAUGCAUCAAAUCAUGUUAACAUCCCAGAUAGUUUAGUUAUGGGUCUACAGGAGUUAAUCAACGUAGUUAAUAUAUCUCUGAAUUUGGAAGAGACUUCAGGAAACACAUCAGAAAUUGUAACUUACACCUGGGGAAACAUGGAUUACACAUCCAAAAAUGCUAAUUCUGUUUUCAUUUGCUCAACCUUAAAAGGUGUUUCAACUGAAAAUAUCAAUGCUCAUGUCAUUUCAUACCUGUAACUUUCAUCCAUCUUCAGAACACAAAUGAUCUUUUUUUAAUGAAAUCUGAGAUAUUUCUGUCCCUCUAUUGACAGCUACACAUAACUACCACUUUCAAGCCCCGGAAAUCAU